UACGUAGGGUGCAAGCGUUAAUCGGAAUUACUGGGCGUAAAGCGUGCGCAGGCGGUUAUGCAAGACAGAUGUGAAAUCCCCGGGCUCAACCUGGGAACUGCAUUUGUGACUGCAUGGCUAGAGUACGGUAGAGGGGGAUGGAAUUCCGCGUGUAGCAGUGAAAUGCGUAGAUAUUACCAGGAACACCAAUGGCGAAGGCAGCUUGCUGGGCCGCCCCUGACGCUGAGGCACGAAAGCGUGGGUAGCGAACAGG
rnacentral:rRNA from 1 species